rnacentral:rRNA from 1 species
GAAUUUCCGCAAUGGGCGAAAGCCUGACGGAGCAAUACCGCGUGAGGGAAGACUGCCUAUGGGUUGUAAACCUCUUUUUUCAGGGAGGAAUAAAAUGACGUGUACCUGAAGAAUAAGCAUCGGCUAACUCCGUGCCAGCAGCCGCGGUAAGACGGAGGAUGCAAGUGUUAUCCGGAAUCACUGGGCGUAAAGCGUCUGUAGGUGGUUUAAUAAGUCAACUGUUAAAUCUUGAGGCUCAACCUCAAAAUCGCAGUCGAAACUAUUAGACUAGAGUAUAGUAGAGGUAAAGGGAAUUUCCAGUGGAGCGGUGAAAUGCGUAGAUAUUGGAAAGAACACCGAUGGCGAAAGCACUUUACUGGGCUAUUACUAACACUCAGAGACGAAAGCUAGGGUAGCAAAUGGGAUUAGAUACUCCCAGUAGUCCUAGCCGUAAACUAUGGAUACUAGAUGUUGAACAGAUCGWCCUGUGCAGUAUCAARRCUAACGCGUUAAGUAUCCCGCUGGGAAGUAUGCUCGCAAGAGUGAAACUCA